CCCUGCCAUUUGUACACACCGCCCGUCGCACCUACCGAUUGAAUGGUCCGGUGAAAUCUUUGGACCGACGAUGGCUCGUCUGAAAUCAGAGUUGGGAAAUUGAUUAAACCUUACCAUUUAGAGGAAGG
rnacentral:rRNA from 1 species